GGUGUGUCUACAGGGAGGAGAUUCAUACGUACGUUGGUGGUUAUUGCCAACAAGACCAGUCUGCAUGGCAGGGUUCCUCCGAAGAGGAAGAUGCAAGACACAACAGAGAAGAUAUCCCUGGAACCAUCCAAACAGAUGAGGCAAGUGCUGAAGAAAAUGCUGCAGGGAGGACAAGAAAUGAAAGGAGAGCCUGUGCAGAUGGAACCAUUUCCCGGAGGAAGUGGUUCCGUGCCAGCAUCUGUUGAAGGAAGGGAGGCCAUGCCAGGCACAGGCACAGGAGACUGGAAUCGUGACAUGGGUUUUCAGGAAGUCCUGAUGAAGGAUGGUUUGAAGUUCCUGGAGGAUGCUGGAGGCAAGUUUUCAUUCUGCCCUUCCUGAGUGAAUAAUCAGGAUCAAUGCAACAAAAGCUCAUUUAUAAACCAUUUCCCUUAACAUUAUGUAAAGGCUGAAGGAUUCUGAGAAUCUUUCCCUUCUCCCUUCUGGAUCCCUGAGGGAUCCCUCAGGAUCGCUGUCAGUGGGAGGAAGGAGCAUUGAUCUUUCAGUCCUC